AAACACCGCCCCGCAGCUCUUCACGCAUGCGGGGGUCCGAUGCGGCUCGGCUUGUUGACGCCGGUAGUGAGACGCGGAGCUGGGCGAGCGCACCGGGCCGGAGGACGGGGCCACGAGGCCACGGGGCCCGGGCGGGGAGGAGGCGCGCAGCGAAGGGGUGCCACGUGCUGGCCCCCGCACGCCAAGGCCAGGCUGCAGGAAGGGAGGGGCGCUCGCACUGCGCAGGCCGGCUCUGCCCGCCCCCAAACUUUCCCCCAGCCCCCACCCCAGGGGAUCGGUACGGCUCAGGGGACUGCAGCAGGUUCCGGGCCCCGGCUGCUACGUGCGCCGCUCGCAGGCUGGGGUGGGCACAGCCGUGCCUGGGGCGGCCGCUCGGCAGCGCGGGGCUGACAGCGAGCCGCGGUGACCCGGUCUGUCCCGCCGGACGGGGCUCGGUUACCUUCCACGGUCUCCUCCAGCGUAUCCUCAUCGCUGUCCAUGGCCGGGGCCGCUGGGCGCCCUGGCGGGGUGUCCGCGCUCUCCCCGCGGCGGGGGGCUCACCCUGUCUUCCCCCUAGAGCCCGCGGAGCGACCGGCUCCGCGCACCCCGGCCGCGGCGUUUGUGCGGGCGCCCGGCUCGCUCCGCUUUGUUAUAGAGCAGCUGAUCCGCUGACAUCACCCAGGCAGGGCCGGGGCCGCUGCCUGACUGACAGCUCCCUGCAGCGCCCGGCCCGCCAGGCAGGCACACCCGCGCCGCGCUCACAGCCAGGCCCACCCGCGACCCCCACAACCCGGAGAUGGGCGCCAAGACAGGGCGAAACCCACCCGCACAAUGCACGGAGGCAGGCCCCCGCCUCCACCCCCAGCCAGCGGGGGAGCCAGCAGAACCAGCAACCCCCUAUGUUCCACAAUGACUGGAAGUGUCAUGACAGAGAGCAGGAAGGAUGUGCUCAUAAUUAAGCCUAGGAAGAAUGGAGGUUGUGGUCUCACAAGACAUGUGAACAUGUCACCUGAUACUGGAAUCCUUCUAAAUGGAAAAGCACCAGGUUUAAGAUGGAGGGGUGUGGACCCAGAGAGACAAAAGAUUCCCACCUUGUGCCAAAGCUAUAAAAGGGGGUGGAAAGGAACAAAGAGGCUGCAGUCAUGAGAAAGCCCCUGUUUUCCACUUAAGAUGUCUGUUGGAACUAACAAGGACUGUACCAAGGAAAAGGAUUGGGCCUAGACUAGCAAGGAGUCUAGUCUGUGAAAGAAGCUUAUUGGAACAUCUCUGAGGGUACUUCAGGGCAGUGGUGCUCAUACCCCUGGGAGUACACAGAGAUCUUCCAAAGGGUACAUCAACUCAUCUAGAUAUUUGCCUAAUUUUACAAAGGCUACAUAAAAAGCACUAGCAAAGUCAGUACGAACUAAAAUUUCAUA